rnacentral:rRNA from 1 species
CCUACGGGAGGCAGCAGUAGGGAAUUUUCGUCAAUGGGCGCAAGCCUGAACGAGCGAUGCCGCGUGAGUGAAGAAUGCCUUCUGGUCGUAAAGCUCUGUUGCUGGGGAAAAAGGCAGCAUCAGGUAAUGGGUUCUGACUGAUGGUUCCCCGCCAGAAAGUCACGGCUAACUCCGUGCCAGCAUCCGCGUUAAUACGUAGGUGGCGAGCGUUAUCCGGAAUGAUUGGGCGUAAAGGGUGGGCAGGCGGUCCUGCAAGUCUGGAGUGAAACGCAUGAGCUCAACUAAUGCAUGGCAUUGGAAACUGGAAGACUGGAGAGCAGGAGAGGGCGGUGGAACUCGAGGUGUAGCGGUAAAAUGCGUAGAUAUAUGGAAGAACACCAGUGGCGAAGGCGGCCGCCUGGACUGUUGCUGACGCUGAGGCACGAAAGCGUGGGGAGCAAAUAGGAUUAGAUACCCCUGUAGUC